rnacentral:lncRNA from 1 species
ACAUUGUUUGGAUUGAUAGUUUAUUCAUGUCUACUAUCCAAUGUGAUUCUUGUGCUUAUAUGAUUACCUUGAAUGUGAUUUGGAAUGACUUUCCUAAAUCUCAUUCAUACUCUGGCCAGAGAUUCUAAAUCAUAUCAUAGAGUAUUCUCCCUCAAACGGUUUGAAGGUUAGAGAUCCCUUGUUGCGCAUUCACUUGCCUCCAUAGCUAAGUGGCUUAACCCCAACUAUGUCGUGGACACCCUCCUGAUGGAGUGACUUUGACAUAAUCAAAGAUCAAGGACUUAACCAUAAGACAACUAUGAUGCCUCAGGUCAAAGGACUACUUUGCAUUAUCCCAACCAUGAGUUCUCAUGUGACAUGAAUAUGAGAACUCUUCGUUGAUCGUGUUCAGUGAACCCAUUCUCUAUUGAGCACCUACGUACUUGUCUUGAUGUCACACACACCAAUGACUCGAGACUAGUCACUCUCCCUGAGAGAAGACAGCACGUACUGAUCUUAACAGACUGUCAAUGCCCAAUUGGCAAUCCUAUGAUCAGGAACGUUUAAGGAUGUGUCUAAGAAAGAAUGGUCUCAUGAAUCUAACUUCUUUAGAUUGCAUUCUCCCAAUCACAUAUUCCUUG